UACUAGAUCUUCAAAGCUAUACAGCGUGGUCUCUAAGGGACCAUUUUGAGUGGGCUGCGGACUAUUCCGAAAGUUUUGGCAUGGUCUAUGUGAACCACUCUGACCCCAACCUUCCACGUAUACCCAGGAGCUCUGCAGUGCGCUACACCACCAUCAAAAAGUGUAAUGGCUUCCCUGACCCUGUACUGGGGCCUCAAAAGUGUUUGAAUCCUGACGCUGAUGCUGGGAGAGCUUUGUGCAAUCAUCUUGUGACUCUACUCUUCCAGACAGCACAUUACACCACAAUGUGGUUGAAGACUGUGCCACCACCAUUGCCUUGCACAGGGGUACUGUCGUCAUGGCACAGGCCAAGGACAGGGGAUUCGAUCAGAGCUCAAAGAUGAAAUGGUUGAGAGGAAGCCAAGGACAUCAAGCAGGAGUGGCAUAAAAUCCUCUAUUUACCAAGCAGUCUCUGGCCCCUUCCUGACAUCAUGGUGCCAUCUGCUGGAUCAAGUUUAUGGAGCAUGAGACCACAGCCUGCCAUUGCCAAUGUGCUGCAUGGACUGGAAGAAAUGACUCUGAUUCUAGAUUUUGGUCCAGUGCCCUGCGGGUCAGUGCUGUCAUAUCAGUCUCCCCCAACUGUCACCAGAGAGAUUCUACAUCAUCCAGAUAUGCAUGCAUUCCCCCAAAUCCCAGUAAAAGAAACUCAA